UAUACAUAGUUACAUGUACCCCAAACAAAACAUCACUGUCAUUCAAACAAUUUAGCAAUGUUUGUAAUAGAAAAUGUGAUAACUCGAUUAUUGAUCCCAGAUGUGACGUUUUCUGCUUUCCUGUUUGCAUUUUGUCUUGUUCAGGUCGAUCGGUGGAGGAGGUGGUCUGGAAAAUGGCUGACGGAGUUGAUCACAUCGACAUCUACGCCGAUGUUGAAGAGGAUUUCAACCAGGAAUCAGACUACCCCGCCCAUGACCAGAUAGACUUGUAUGACGAUGUUAUCUCUCCUUCGGCCAAUAAUAACGGAGACGCACCUGAGGACCGGGACUACCUGGACAACCUACCCCCACCUGCUGGCUCCGAGGGGAACAAGAGCACCCCGCCCAACGUGGUGUACACGUACACUGGCAAGAGGAUCGCCCUGUACAUAGGCAAUCUCACAUGGUGGACAACAGACGAAGAUUUGACAGACGCCAUUGGAUCAAUAGGCAUUAAGGAUUUGCUGGAGAUCAAGUUCUUUGAGAACAGAGCCAACGGGCAGAGUAAAGGGUUUGCCCUGGUGUGUGUGGGCUCAGACGCGUCCUCUAGGAAGCUACUGGACCUGCUGGCUAAACGGGAGCUACACGGACAGAACCCCAUUGUUACCCCCUGCAACAAGCAGUCCCUCAGCCAGUUCGAGAUGCAGUCUCGGAAAAGUACAUCGGGUGGGCAGAUGUCCGGCGAUGGGAAGGCGGGACCCCCCACCAUGGGCCCCCGCGGUGGCUUCCCCAUGGGCAUGGGUAGAGGCCGAGGCCGCUUCCCUGGCCCUCCUGGCCCUGGAGGAGACCGGUUCCCUGGGCCCAUCGGACCCGGAGGGCCACCGCCACACUUCCCAGGUGGUAUGCAGGGCCCACCUCGACCCCCUCCUGGCCCACUAGGUCCCCCUGGACCCCUAGGCCCCCCUCCCCCAGGACAGGGCCUCCCCCCUCCCAUGCAAGGCCCCCCCAACCGUGGUGACCGCCCACCACCCCGGUCAUGUUCCCCGGCCAGUUUGGCCAGCCCCCAUGGGUCCUCUCCCCCUGGCCCUCCCCCCACACGGCUUCGGCCCUCCUCCUGGCCCCCCCCCCCCCAACAGGGCCCUCCACCCCCUGGUCAUUUUCCUCCUCGCCCCCCUGGUCCCCUUGGACCGCCUCUGGCCCUCGCUCCCCCACCACACAUGACCGGGCCCCGACCUGGAGGUCCCCCACCGGCUCCCCAUGUCAACCCAGCGUUCUUCCCUCCUCCUGGGGGUCCUAACAACAUGGGGGGCCCUCCUGGAGGGGACGGCAGGGGCCCCAACGGGCCCAACGACCCCUAUGGACGGCCACCUCCAUAUGACCGGGGAGACUUCGGACCCGCCGGCAGGGAGAUGGAGUCGGCGCGGACACCGCUGAGCGAGGCAGAGUUUGAGGAGAUCAUGAACCGGAACCGAGCCAUCUCCAGUAGUGCCAUCUCUAGGGCGGUGUCAGAUGCUAGCGCUGCUGACUAUGGCAGUGCCAUAGAGACUCUGGUGACAGCCAUCUCUCUGAUCAAGCAGUCUAAGGUAUCUGCUGACGACCGCUGCAAAGUUCUCAUCAGCUCUCUGCAGGACUGUCUCCACGGCAUCGAGAACAAGUCCUACGGCUCUGCCUCCAGACGCGAGAGGUCGAGGGAGCGUGACCACAGCCGAUCCCGGGAGAAGAGCCGGCGCCACAAGUCCCGUAGCCGCGACCGCCACGAGGACUACUACCGCGAACGCAGCCGGGAGCGAGAACGGCACCGCGGGGACAGAGAACGUGAACGCGAAAGAGACCGUGAGAGGGAGUACCGACAUCGUUAGGGGAGCCUACGGAAGAGGACAGGGACGAGGACGCCUCGUCACAACCAGCAGGCCCUACUUCAGGAUCGCCUUGUCAACUAGCCCCCCCCUCUGUCUGUGUCUCCAUGGUUUCCAGGGGACUGACUACCUGGGAAUCGCUCACAGCUGUGUAAGGUUAUAAGUAGUGUUCUUUAAAAUCAUACUCAUGGUAUAUAAAAAAAACUACUCAACAGCUAUUUUUAUUUUUACUGAAAUUUUAUUUGAUGUGAACGAAAAAAUGAUUACCUACCUGUGUUGACAGGCUUCUUCAAGCUUUGCGAAAAUAACAAAUGACUACAUUUGCCUGCUCUAUUCCAAAACGGACAGCUUUUGACUGCUAUAAUGUGUACAUUUUGUCAGGUUAGAGUUGAUUUUACAGGAGGUUUUUUUUUUCUUUGGUUUUUCAUCUUUAUUUCCUCUCGUGCCCCUCCCUACUUUCCUCGUUAGGAUAAUGUUUGUAAAUGUCUCUGCUUUGAAUAUUAAAAUAGAUUCUGUGUUGUAAUAAACUGUUUACUGGGGUUUUGACACUUAAUAAUAAUUUACAUGUGUACGUUUUUGCCUGCAUACAUUUUUCAUGUUGAAUUUUACGAAAUAGUUAUUUUAAAUUUACUCUCACUUAAAUUGCGAUGUUGUGCUGUUAUUGACCAAAUUUAAGCACAGUUGACCAAAAGGUUGUAUUUGUCCUGAUGCCCAGAAUUAGUGAAAUCUGACUGAAUUUAGCAUAGCUACUUUUGCAUUGAAUGAUCAUGUGACAGAUAUUUUCAACUUUGACUUAUUAGUUUGUUCUAAAAGUUCUAGUUAAAAUGUAGCUAGUUGUUUGGCGAACAUUUUGUUUUUAGUCUCCGUAUACUACUGUAUGCCAUUUGAAUACCAAAAGUGAAAAUCCAUGUCUUGGCUAACUGAUUUUAGAGGUAUUCAGGACUUGAUUAUACUUGGGCAAACAUUUUUUAGUUUUAUUAUUUUUUUAUUUCUUGAUUAUUUUUUUUCAUGUUACCAGGAAGUACAUUCCAAGGGUUCAUUACCCUAAUAUUAAUGACACAAGUAGAACAAAUGAUUGAGUUAUAUGGAAUUAUUUUAGUGAUAGUUGAUGCAAACUUCACAGAUCUGGACAAUACUACUACUACUUCUGUGAACAGAAUUAGUCCCUUAUCUGCAAACUUGUGCUCCGAUUGGCUGGCUGAUGUACUGCACUGAUUUCUUAUUGAGGUGCUUGUCUCACUGGUUUCGCCCAGUGAGGGUUGUGGUAGCCUGGUCCCAGAUCUCUAUAUAUUUUGGCCGAGUCUUGACUUGUUGUCCAGCCUACAUUGAAUAGCAAUAACAUUGCUAGCCAGAGUAGUUGGUUAAAACGCAUACAGACCUGAGCGGUAUACUACAAAGCAGGACCAAUGUGUUAGCCAGCUAAUUUGCUUAAAUAUUCUGAAUUAACUUUUAGAUUUUUUUGGAAUAGAAGCUUGACUCAACUUAAAAACACAUGUCUAAGUUCAACUUUCUUAAUGAACGAGAAAAUGAAAUGUUAUUUCUGGUUGUUUAUCAAAGUUAGCUGGCUAAUGCAUUGAUCCUGUUUUGUACGAUCCCCUUCUGGGACCAAGCCAAAGGGCUGGGUGUAGUAAAUGGAUGGGGAUUACAGUAGUGAGGUUCUGGGAUAAGGCUGAGGGGCUAGGUGUAGUAAAUGGAUGGGGAUUACAGUAGUGAGGGUCUGAGACCAGGCCAAGGGACUGGGUGUCGUAAAUGGAUAGGGAUUACAGUAGUGAGGUUCUGGGACAAGGCCAAGGGGCUGGGUGUUGUAAAUGGAUGGGGAAUUACAGUAAUAAGAGUAUUCAAGUGAGGUGUCCAUUUUGUAAAGUAUGAGAGCACAAUCCUUCCCUAGUUUCUCAGGGUCUGUGCACUGACUGGUCUGCCAGAUUGAAAUAACUGAUAUUGAUGCCUGUUUUAAGGCGGUAAUGCCUACCUCCCUCUUUACUCCCAUGUAUUUUCUACAUGGCCCUGAUAGACUUAGGUGGUGCUCUCCUGCUUGCAUUGCGUUGCCACUUUAAAGAUAGUUAUUUAGUUGGUUAUUGUGGCUUCCAUCAUUCACUGAAACCACUGCUUCAGUCAACUUAACAUUUUUUACAUUUUACUGGUUAGACUUUACAUCCAACUAUUGGCACAUAAAACUCCAAGUUUUUAAUCAAUAUUGCCCACUAGCUACAAAGAGCAUUUUGAGCACUUUACAAUGUGUUUGACAUGGAAUGUUAUUGGAUGGAACUUUAGUAAAGUACUCCUUCAGGUAAAGUUUGCAUGACAAACACUUUCUUUUAUACGUGGGACUUUUGUAUUUCAUUUAUUGUAUAAAUGCACUGAGAUAUUUAAUAUGUUGUAAAGCAUUCAUAAUGCUCUAUGUAGCUAUUAUACCAUGUUUAUUGUGCUAAUGGUUGGUUAUGAAUGCCUUGUUACCUAUUCGCUGAUCAUUACGAAUUGCUUUCUAGCCCAAAGUCUUUUCAAACCGGUUGAAUAUUUGAGUGGAGCUGAUUUGAAACUGGUUUGAUACGUCAAUACUGUACAUAUACGCAGUCGACAAGUGUUACCUAUACUCAAUUAGUGUUUUGUCAUUUUGUACAUAUAAUGCAUCCAUCUUAGAUAUUACCUUGGAAUACUUUUUACAAUCAGAUCCAAGGUUUUACACGAUCAAUUUCGCUCUCGGACGUGUUCAGGAAAUGGAACUUUCUUAAGGUGCACUGUCUUGUUUUGAGUGUUUUCAAUAAACUAGUUUUCUCCGUC